GGAGAGAUGGCUCAGUGGUUAAGAGCACUGGCUGCUCUUCCAGAGGUCCUGAGUUCAAUUCCCAGCCACCA
rfam:Mesocricetus auratus contig169727, whole genome shotgun sequence.